AUUUUCGGGCAGAGAGGCACGCGCCUGGGAAUGGUUUCUACCGUUCAGUUCAAAUGUAACGAAAGCAAAACCCUGGGUAGUGAGGCCAAGAUGAAUAUAAUACGAGAUGCGGCAGAACCAAUCCUUGAAGUAGAACACAAGUGCUGCUGUCCGGAUGGAUGUCCCGUGAAUGUUCCGCCUACCACACCUCCAGGCCCUACCGUGGUAUCUUCAUCUACUAUGUUUCCCACCUUUCCAGUUUACGUGUCAAGAACUUUAU